rnacentral:rRNA from 1 species
AAGCGCUUGCAACCAGACUUGCAUAUAGUUGAUCAUCCGGCGUUUUCACCGGUGCACUCGAUUGUAUUCAGGCCAGCAUCGGUUUUAGUGGUUGGAUAAAGGCCUUGGGAAUGUAGCUUCUUUCGGGGAGUGUUAUAGCCCUAGGUGCAAUGCAGCCUACUGAGACCGAGGACCGCGCUUCGGCUAGGAUGCUGGCGUAAUGGUUGUAAGCGA